UAGGGAAUAUUGCAAAAUGGGCGAAAGCCCGAUGCAGCAACGCCGCGUGGGCGAUGAAGGCCUUCGGGUCGUAAAGCCCUUUUUGAGGGGAUGAGGAAGGACAGUACCCUCAGAAUAAGCCUCGGCUAACUACGUGCCAGCAGCCGCGGUAAAACGUAGGAGGCGAGCGUUAUCCGGAUUUACUGGGCGUAAAGCGCGUGCAGGCGGAUUGGAGAGUUGGAUGUGAAAGCUCCCGGCUUAACUGGGAGAGGUCGUUCAAUACUUCCAGUCUUGAGAUUGGUAGAGGAGAAUGGAAUUCCGGGUGUAGUGGUGAAAUGCGUAGAUAUCCGGAGGAACACCAGUGGCGAAAGCGGUUUUCUGGACCAAUUCUGACACUCAGAUGCGAAAGCUAAGGUAGCAAAC
rnacentral:rRNA from 1 species